rnacentral:ncRNA from 2 species
AUAGACCAUCUACGUUCAGGUGCUCUUUAUAGAGCACAAUAGGGAACCACGUUGGAAUCGUGGACGGGCCCACCGCUGUAACCGGGGACGAACGCUGCAAGAUGCCACUGACCAAAAGGUUGGGAAGGUGCGGCGCAAGAUUGAUCCGGAAAGUCAGAAGACCUGCCUGAACCUUGUUGGGGAG